rnacentral:rRNA from 1 species
AUUGAACGCUGGCGGCAUGCCUUACACAUGCAAGUCGAACGGUAACGGGCCUUCGGGUGCCGACGAGUGGCGAACGGGUGAGUAAUGCAUCGGAACGUACCCAUCAGUGGGGGAUAACUCUCCGAAAGGGGGGCUAAUACCGCAUAUUCUGUGCGCAGGAAAGCGGGGGACCGCAAGGCCUCGCGCUGAUGGAGCGGCCGAUGUCAGAUUAGCUAGUUGGUGGGGUAAAGGCCUACCAAGGCGACGAUCUGUAGCGGGUCUGAGAGGAUGAUCCGCCACACUGGGACUGAGACACGGCCCAGACUCCUACGGGAGGCAGCAGUGGGGAAUUUUGGACAAUGGGGGCAACCCUGAUCCAGCCAUGCCGCGUGAGUGAAGAAGGCCUUCGGGUCGUAAAGCUCUUUCGGCCGGGAAGAAAUCGCAUCUCCUAAUACGGGGUGUGGAUGACGGUACCGGAAUAAGAAGCACCGGCUAACUACGUGCCAGCCGCCGCCGUAA